rnacentral:ncRNA from 1 species
GGCCGGGAGGGUGACGGAUACAAGACCCGUAAGGGGAAGAAGUCCGCCGCGUGGUAGCGGUUUCUAGCCUCCCGGCCACCCCAUU